GUGGGGAAUCUUAGACAAUGGGGGCAACCCUGAUCUAGCCAUGCCGCGUGAGUGAUGAAGGCCUUAGGGUCGUAAAGCUCUUUCGCCGGGGAAGAUAAUGACUGUACCCGGUAAAGAAACCCCGGCUAACUCCGUGCCAGCAGCCGCGGUAAUACGGAGGGGGUUAGCGUUGUUCGGAAUUCCUGGGCGUAAAGCGCGCGUAGGCGGAGCGGAGAGUUGGGGGUGAAAUCCCGGGGCUCAACCCCGGAAUUGCCUUCAAAACUCCCGGUCUUGAGGUCGAGAGAGGUGAGUGGAAUUCCGAGUGUAGAGGUGAAAUUCGUAGAUAUUCGGAGGAACACCAGUGGCGAAGGCGGCUCACUGGCUCGAUACUGACGCUGAGGUGCGAAAGCGUGGGGAGCAAACAGGAUUAGAAACCCGGGUAGUCC
rnacentral:rRNA from 1 species